UUUGGGUUUCUAAAAAUACAUAUCAGGUUGCAGUUAUUUUCUGGUGUAACCCUUUUGACAGUUAUUUUCGACAUGAACUUGCUAAUGAAAAGCCAUCAGAAACUACCACAAUUGUUGCCCAAGACACUUCUGGUUCUAUUUCUAUUAAGAAAUUAUUAAUUUUAAAUAUAGUUUGAUGUUUAUCUGAUAUAUAUUCAGUAUGAUGUAUUGUUGAUAUUGUUCUCUAAGACACUGUUGGUGUUGUAUGUUUACUUGUAGGUUUUUAAUAUUAUCAAUCUUGGACACUCACUCUCCAUAGAGCCUUGGUUCAGGGUCUUAUUGCACAAGAUAUCAAAGUACGACUGUUCUGAGUAAACAUUAACUUCUUGGUUUUGUUUCUUUAUUGCUGAACAAUUUGAAACUUUUUUUGAGUUAAAUCUGCAGGUUUAACUUGCAGGUUGAACACAUAUACUUUAUUGUGAAGAGAAUGUAUGUUUUAGUGUUGAGUGUAGGUAUGCAACGUUGAAAUCUAUGGCUUAUUUUCUUGUCUCAUUGUGUAUGCUAAAUCAAGGAAAUUAGUAGUUUGUUGAAUUUGGGAUCAGAUGUUUCAGCUGAGUACGGGGUUGCAGUUGCCACUGAUUCUGGAGGUGUAUAGCCUGAUUGUUUUAUUCUUCAUGAAUGUUGCAAGGGAUCCAAUGGCUUAAAUUCCAAUUCAGAUGUCGGGAUUUAUGGUCAAGAAGAUGGAAACAAUAAUCAAACAGUGAACUCAAUCUCAAGUUACAUGUCAAGCAAAUGUUCUCUUGAUAAUGAUAAUUUUUUUUAACAUUACAACAAGCUUUAGUUUUUGAGGUUUGGAUUCUCUAUCGUCGCGGAUUUUCACUUACAACCUCUGCCUGUAUUGUGUAGGAUGUUGGACUCCUUGCUAGGCAUACCAGUACCGUGUCAAUAAUGGACACUGAAUUAAAUGAUGAAUUUUGAAAUCCUAUUUGGAGAAAUAGAGUGGAAAGUUGGAAGGAAAAGGACAAAAACAAUAAGAAGAAAAAGGCAGCACCUAAGGCUGAAAAUGAGAAGCAAUGAACUUCAUCUCCCUACUACACGUGAAUCAUAUAUUUUAUACACAAAUAGAAGUGGUGAUCCAUAGAUAUAAUUUGAUAUUUGAUAGUAAUGCUAUACCUGUAUUGUAUAUGUGACUAUGUUUUUGCAGAUUUUGAUAUUCAAGAGAGUUCUGAAAUAGAUAGCCUUGUAUAUUAAAGGAACAGUAAUCCUAAUGAGAAAAAUAUAACUUAAAAUACA